AUUGAACGCUAACGGCAUGCUUAACACAUGCAAGUCGAACGGCAGCACAGUAGUAGCAAUACUAUGGGUGGCGAGUGGCGGACGGGUGAGUAAUACAUAGGAAUCUGCCUUAUAGUGGGGGAUAACCCGGGGAAACUCGGGCUAAUACCGCAUAAUCUCCACGGAGCAAAGUGUGGGACCUUCGGGCCAUACGCUAAUAGAUGAGCCUAUGUCGGAUUAGCUAGUUGGUGGGGUAAAGGCCUACCAAGGCAACGAUCCGUAGCUGGUCUGAGGGGAUGAUCAGCCACACUGGGACUGAGACACGGCCCAGACUCCUACGGGAGGCAGCAGUGGGGAAUAUUGGACAAUGGGCGAAAGCCUGAUCCAGCAAUGCCGUGUGUGUGAAGAAGGCCUUCGGGUUGUAAAGCACUUUUAGUUGGGAAGAAAAGUUCAUGGCUAAUAUCCAUGAAUGCUGACGUUACCAACAGAAAAAGCACUGGCUAACUCUGUGCCAGCCGCCGCCGUAA
rnacentral:rRNA from 1 species